UAUAUCUUGGAGAAAGAGAUAGU
rnacentral:snRNA from 1 species